rnacentral:rRNA from 1 species
UGGGGAAUAUUGGACAAUGGGCGAAAGCCUGAUCCAGCCAUGCCGCGUGAGUGAUGAAGGCCUUAGGGUUGUAAUGCUCUUUUAGCGGGGAAGAUAAUGACGGUACCCGCAGAAUAAGCCCCGGCUAACUUCGUGCCAGCAGCCGCGGUAAUACGAAGGGGGCUAGCGUUGUUCGGAAUUACUGGGCGUAAAGCGCACGUAGGCGGAUUGACAAGUCAGGGGUGAAAUCCCGGGGCUCAACCUCGGAACUGCCUUUGAUACUGUCAGUCUAGAGUCCGGAAGAGGUGGGUGGAAUUCCUAGUGUAGAGGUGAAAUUCGCAGAUAUUAGGAAGAACACCGGUGGCGAAGGCGGCCCACUGGUCCGGUACUGACGCUGAGGUGCGAAAGCGUGGGGAGCAAACA